GACAGAGGGUGCAAACGUUGCUCGGAAUCACUGGGCGUAAAGGGCGUGUAGGCGGGAAGGAAAGUCAGAUGUGAAAGCCCAGGGCUCAACCCUGGAAUUGCCUUUGAUACUGACUGUCUUGAGUGUGGGAGAGGUGUAUGGAACUCCGAGUGUAGAGGUGAAAUUCGUAGAUAUUCGGAAGAACACCAGUGGCGAAGGCGACACACUGGCCCAUUACUGACGCUGAGGCUCGAAAGCGUGGGGAGCAAACAGG
rnacentral:rRNA from 1 species